UCUUACCUUACCGUCGGUUUGAAGCUGAGCAGGUGAGAGUGCCCAUGUGCAUUUUGUGGGGAAGCUUUUGGGGUACUUUUGUUAUUGUUGUUGUUGUGUUCUCUAAGGUAAUUGUGUUGGGGAACCUAUGUGGUUAAUUUUUGCAGGGCAACUUCUCUACCCUAAUGGCUGGAAACUACAAACUUGUUUGGGAUAAUUCAUAUUCAACUUUCUUCAAAAAGGUAGGGUGAUAAAAACAUCUUGCGGCUGACAAAAGUGAAUUUAGUAUCCUUUGUCAUCCCAUU
rnacentral:lncRNA from 1 species